rnacentral:rRNA from 1 species
AGACGUCUACAUUAGAUACCCCCGUAGUCCCAGCCGUAAACUAUGCGCGUUAGGUGUACCGGUGACCACGAGUCACCGAGGUGCCGAAGGGAAACCGUGAAACGUGCCGCCUGGGAAAGUACGGUCGCAAGGCUGAAACUUAAAGGAAUUGGCGGGGAGCACCACAACGGGUGGAGCCUGCGGUUUAAUUGGACUCAACGCCGGGAAGCUCACCGGAUAAGACAGCGGAAUGAUUGCCGGGCUGAAGACUCUGCAUGACUAGCUG